AUUUUGGCCAUUGUAGUAGUUAGAUUCCUUUCAGUUGCAACUAACGAGAAACUUAAUUCAACUGAUAGGUAACUGUGGUUGAGAGGCAGCAUGGGCUCCAGCCAUGAGAAGACCAGGAGCUUGUCCUGUUUCUCCGCUCUUGUCUUGGUUCUUUUCUCUGCAUUGUUUUUAUUCUCAGGCUGGCUUCUCCCCUUGUGUUAAUAUGAUUGCCAGCAAUAAUCCAAGGAGGCAUGCUUCCUCGGUCAUGUCCAGAAGAAAAUAGCUCUUCUUCAAUAUGUAAGACACCUUAAUUAUUACCAAAUAUCUAUUCUUCCUUGUGACAGCUGAUUUUAUGUGUCAACUUGACUAGGCUAAGGGAUGCCCAGAUGUCUGGUAAAAUGUGUGUCUUCUGGAAACACCCAUUGGAAGAGAUUAGCAUUUGAAUCAGCAGACUGAGUAAAGCAAAGAAUCCUCACCCAAUCAGGUGGACCUCAUUCAAUCUGCUGAGGGCCUGAUUACAGCAAAAAGGAGGGGGAGGGGAAAUUUGCUCUCUGCCUGAGCUGAGUGCCCCAGACAUCAGUGCUCCUGGUUGUGGGGCCUUACAACUUGGACCAGGACUUACAAGGUUGUGCCUCCCUGCACCCUGCCACCUUCUUGGGCUUUUGGACUGCUGAUGGGACUUAUGUCAUUGACUCCUCUGGUUCUGAAGCUUUCAGACUUGUACUGAACUAAAGCAUUGGCUUUCCUUGUUCUCCGGCUUGUGGAUGGCAGUUCAUGGGACACUGUGACUUCCAUAAUCACUCUCAGGAGCUGUACUUGGCUACUCUCAUUGAACAAAUGAAGACUCCAACCUUCAACCAGGAGGGUGCUGGGCUUAUGGGCGGGGGGCAGCCAGAUUGGGGGCCCCGGGCUGGGAUGGUGACCCCUCCCCAGCCUCAGCACCUGCACUUUCAUGUGUGCCCUUUUCCAGAAAUGUAACUUCAUCUUCUUGAUCUGAUUAAGUUUUUUAUUUUGGCUUUAUUAAUGCUGAUUGUCAGAGCAAUAUUUUAAAAGGACUACAUUUGCAUGAUGUUGCAUUUUAUUCAGCUAAUUACUUUCUGGAGAAUUUUUGAUCAUACUGUAAAAUUAUAUGAUGUGAAAACAUUUACCACUGUCAGAAUAAAUCUCAAGAAUCCAUACAUUUUAUUUUUUGUGGCCACUCAAAAUUCUGGUGUUACGUUUAUAAUAUCCCCACCUGAAUAUCUUGUUUAUGAAAAUGUAAGGGGAAACUGAAAGGUGUUUUACAUUUCUAACACUUGAUAUUAAAUGAAAGCAAAAUCAGAAUAGACCAACCCCACUACAACAAUCACCGCAACCAUCAAUACCACACCUGGGCAGCUACCAACACUUCUUAGGGCUAAGGAAUCAAUAAGUAGGCAGGAACCUGCAAUUUUCGAGCCACUUUGAAAAGUCCAAGUUUGGUAGGAGUUCUUUUUAAACAUUUUCUUGGGGCUAAAAUCUGACACUACAUUGUUCUUGAUUCUGCUGGAGCCCUCAGUACUAUGGUUUCCAUCUCUCUCUCUCUCUUCCCCCCGCCCCCCAUAGAUUCAGCACAAACUCCACUAAUUCAACUUCUCAGUGGUUUGUGGCGUGAGGUUGGGUGGGAUGCUGUUGGUAACUCAUGGAAAUGUUACAGAGCUGUCAAAAAUAUAAGUAGUCAGCUAUAUACACUAAGAAAAGUGCUGCAUUUCUAUCUGGUCCCGGUAGAAGAUUAGUAAGAGAAAUUCUGGAUACCAUGGGCACCUCCCCUCUGUACUGCAAGUUUCUCUUCUUUGCCUCCUUUCUCUGUUCCAUCUCUUCUCCUUAGCUUGUGGGCGCAGGAACAUGUAGUAGUAAUGAAGUCAGUUGAUGAUGAAGGUCCAGUGGAGGGGGAAGACGCCUACUGGAAGAGGAGGCAUCUUCAUUCUUUACUUGGCCUCAGAGAGUGACUCCAUGCCAAGUCAUCCAUCUUGCAAAUGCAGGCUGCUCUUCACCAGUGGAAAGUGAGAAUGUAAGGAAUCAGCACAAGUCAAUCACCUCUAAAGGGAAAAAUAACCAAGGGACUAGUUUAGAUGGAUUAGGACAACACAACACUAAAGGGGAAAAUGUUUUCUAGUCAUAUUUGUUCCUUCCUUUUCUUUUUUCUUAUCCUUUUCCUAGGCUUUCCUAGCCUAUUCUAUUUCCUCUGGGAGGUAGGGAAGGGGAAAAUGUUCAUUUAUAUUUAAUCCUGUCAACUGAAAAAUGAAAAUAAAAAUAGUUGGACAUU
ensembl:lncRNA